GAUUGUGGGAAAGAUUUCAUCGGCGUGGGAUGGGGUCGCGUCCUAUCAGCUUGUUGGUGAGGUAACGGCUCACCAAGGCUUCGACGGGUAGCCGGCCUGAGAGGGCGACCGGCCACAUUGGGACUGAGAUACGGCCCAGACUCCUACGGGAGGCAGCAGUGGGGAAUAUUGCACAAUGGGCGCAAGCCUGAUGCAGCGACGCCGCGUGAGGGAUGGAGGCCUUCGGGUUGUAAACCUCUUUUGUUUGGGAGCAAGCCUUCGGGUGAGUGUACCUUUCGAAUAAGCGCCGGCUAACUACGUGCCAGCAGCCGCGGUAAUACGUAGGGCGCAAGCGUUAUCCGGAUUUAUUGGGCGUAAAGGGCUCGUAGGCGGCUCGUCGCGUCCGGUGUGAAAGUCCAUCGCUUAACGGUGGAUCUGCGCCGGGUACGGGCGGGCUGGAGUGCGGUAGGGGAGACUGGAAUUCCCGGUGUAACGGUGGAAUGUGUAGAUAUCGGGAAGAACACCGAUGGCGAAGGCAGGUCUCUGGGCCGUCACUGACGCUGAGGAGCGAAAGCGUGGGGAGCGAACAGGAUUAGAUACCCUGGUAGUCCACGCCGUAAACGGUGGACGCUGGAUGUGGGGCACGUUCCACGUGUUCCGUGUCGGAGCUAACGCGUUAAGCGUCCCGCCUGGGGAGUACGGCCGCAAGGCUAAAACUCAAAGAAAUUGACGGGGGCCCGC
rnacentral:rRNA from 1 species